UGAGGAAUAUUGGGCAAUGCCCGCAAGGGUGACCCAGCAACGCCGCGUGGAGGAUGAAGGUCGUAAGAUCGUAAACUCCUGUAAGCAGGGAUGAAAGUGCAUAAUUCGUAAGGGUUGUGUAUUGACCGUACCUGCAAAGUAAGCUCCGGCUAACUACGUGCCAGCAGCCGCGGUAAUACGUAGGGAGCCAGCGUUGUCCGGAUUUACUGGGUGUAAAGGGCGCGUAGGCGGACCGGUCAGUCAGAGGUGAAAUCCCGCAGCUUAACUGCGGAGCUGCCUUUGAUACUGCCGGCCUUGAGUUCAGAAGAGAGAGAUGGAAUUCCAGGUGUAGUGGUGAAAUACGUAGAUAUCUGGAAGAACACCAGUGGCGAAGGCGAUCUCUUGGUCUGUAACUGACGCUGAGGCGCGAAAGCGUGGGUAGCAAACA
rnacentral:rRNA from 1 species